rnacentral:ncRNA from 18 species
UUCUUAUCAAGAGAGAUGGAGGGACUGGCCCGGUGAAAUCUCAGCAACAGGCUAAAAAAGCACUGUGCUAAUUCCAGCAAACGUAAAAGGCGUUUGGAAGAUGAAGG